CAGUCGCCACGGUAAUACGUAGGUGGCAAGCGUUGUCCGGAAUUAUUGGGCGUAAAGGGCUCGCAGGCGGUUUCUUAAGUCUGAUGUGAAAGCCCCCGGCUCAACCGGGGAGGGUCAUUGGAAACUGGGAAACUUGAGUGCAGAAGAGGAGAGUGGAAUUCCACGUGUAGCGGUGAAAUGCGUAGAGAUGUGGAGGAACACCAGCGGCGAAGGCGACUCUCUGGUCUGUAACUGACGCUGAGGAGCGAAAGCGUGGGGAGCGAACAGGAUUAGAUACCCGAGUAGUCCCUGUCUCUUAUAC
rnacentral:rRNA from 1 species